ensembl:lncRNA
CUAAAUAUAAGUUUCUUGCUCGGAGAUUCACUUAAACAUUCAUAAGUCUGAGGCUAUCUAAGUAAAAGAAGAAGAACUGAUAUGAGCCUUUAAAACAGCGGAGACUAUACUGAGCUGAAAAACACAACCUUUCCCAGGGCUUCCUUAAAACGUUAGCGCUUACGAUCCAUAACAGGUUCAAGGGAAUCACGGGAAACUGCUGCUUAAAUAGUCAAGCUUCUUUCAAGCCUGCAUUGCAAAAACAAUAUCUAAAGCUCUGUUGCGUAGCAGAUGUGACAAAUGCUCAUGAUAUCUGGCUCCAACGUGGCAUUCCAGAGACAUUCAAGACCUAAAAAUGGUGACCAUCUGCUUUGUGCAUGGGUCCAAAAAUCCAACUGUGCAACUUGGAACGUCUGCCUCACUUCAAAUAGCCACGUCGCAUCGGUGAGAAUGUGAUUAUUACAUUCGAGAUGCCUUUAGAUUAGUACACGUUGUAGACGCUUUUACCGGUUAGUACUGUUCAGGAUGCCUAGUCGUGUCUAUUUGCCACCUCCUACUCAUGCAUGCUGUGGUAUACGAAUUAAGGUGGAAAAAUCCUUGGCAUUUUGCACAGAUUUGAGGCUAUGCUUGGUGCGUGAACUGCUGGGAGGAACAGAACAUGGAAGCACAGAUCUAGUUUUGGAAAGAGAUACUCAUGACAACAGCUCCAUGAAGACAUGGUUUCCCAAGAUUGGAGUGGAAAAACUUAAGUGUCCUGCAAAGAGCCCUGACUGUACACCUUUGGGAUGAACUGGAAUGCCGACUGUACCCCAGACCUCCUCACCCGACAUCACUCUCUUAUAGCUGAAUGAACACAAAUCCCCACAGCCACACAGCCACUAGUGGAAAGCCUUCUCAGAACAAUGGGGGGUUAUUAUAAUAGGAAAGGAGGACUAAAUCUGGAAUGGGACGUUCAACAAGCAGAUAUGUUAUGAUCAGGUGUCCACAAUCUUUUGGCAGUAUCAUGUAUGUAUAGUUAAGUAAUAUACAGUAUGUUUUUGGCAAUAUUGUGUAUAUUAUACUCAACUGCAACCUGUCAAAGGAAGCAUGAUCUCGUUCUUAAACAAAAAAAUGGUGUAAAAGUGGGUUGCAAUAUGUUAAGUACUCGCUAAUUAAACACUCUAAUUAAAAAACAAUUAUGAGUAUCAGUUAUGAUCAUAGCCUCUGGCUGUUCCACAAUCAUCUUAAUAUAGGAGACUAG